AAUGACGGCGAUUACAUGGCUUUGUCUAACCUGUCUUGAAACCCGCACCAAGGAGCCUUAACAUCUGCGCCGCGAGUCUUU
rnacentral:rRNA from 1 species